rnacentral:lncRNA from 1 species
AUUCCGAUCCGCUGCCCCUGAGAGGUGGGCCUUGGGAGAGGCAGGGCUUGGACGCCCUUCCUCGGGGCAGCGGGGUGCAGGGAGAGUUCUUCUGGCUGUGAGUCCCGGAGUCCCCGACCCUGGCACCCCUUCAGCAAGGUUCUCAGGCACAUCUGCCGGGGGCGCUGAGGGGACCUGAGAUGGACGGGCCGGGAGGGAGGCUGAGGUAAGACCUGAGGCUGAGGUAAGACCUCAGCCUGAGGUAAGACACAGUGCUGGGGCCUCCCUUGAAGCCCGUUUGAAGUGAGGUCCCCACAGCUGUCAGAGGACACGCAGGGUGGGGGCUCCUGGGUGGGAAACAGGUAAACCUCUUGGGCGCCUGGGGCUGGAGGCCUGAGUGGUCCUGAAAAGAACAUUCAGGCCAGGCGCAGUGGCUCACACCUGUAAUCCCAGCACUUUCGGGGGCUGAGGCGGGUGGAUCACAAGGUCAAGAGAUCGAGACCAUCCUGGCCAACAUGGUGAAACCCCGUCUCUACUAAAGACACAAAAGCUAGCUGCAUGUGGUGGCGCACGCCUGUAGUCCCAGCUCCUCUUAGGGAGGCUGAGGCAGGAGAAUCACUUGGACCCAGGAGGCGGAGGUUGCAGUGAGCUGAGAUUGCGCCACUGCACUCCAGCCUGGCGACACAGCGAGACUCUGUCUCAAAAAUAAAUAAAUAAAUAAAUAAAAAGAAAAGAAAAGAACAUUUAGUGAAAGGAGCAAGGAAGAGAAGGCAUUCUGGGCAGACCCCGGCCCCCAGGGCACAGGCGUGCAGUGUUUCCCUUCCAGGGUUUGGUGGACACUUGGAGGGACCAGGUCGGGGUGUGGCCUGGGAGGGGUGGCCAAGGUCCAGGGGUCAGGGUCACUUCGGGGAAGUCCAAGGGGCAGCGCGGAGCCACCGCUGUGGACAUGGGAGGAGCCUACUAGCCAGCAUGGCCCAAAGGAAGGAGGGGCUGAGGGUCAGAGGUCAUGGGAGAGAAGAGGGAGUGGGGCAGACCCUCUCCCAAGGCCAUGGGGUGGGGGAGAAACAGCGCCUUAGGGCCUGUCCUGAUCCUCCUCCAGAGCCUGCUCAGAGUGGGAGCAGCCCCUCCUCCCUUCCCCUCCACCACCCAGGCGCAGGUGCGGCCUCUCCCUGGCCCGGGGACCUGCGUGAGGUCAGCCCUCAAAGCGCUGUCCCUUCUGGCUCACCUGGGCCCAGGGUGAGGCCCGACCCCACGGUGGACCCUGAGUCACUGCAGCUUCUGUGCCCAGCUCAGGAACAGAGCAGCCUUCAAGGCCAGGACUGGGGAGGGGCUCGGCUUUUCCGGCCCUUGGACGCCACUCAACUCUUCCUGCCCGUGUGUUGGCAAAGAACUAGCACGGCCUCUGAAGCACUGAAAAGACAAGGGCUACCUCUUUUCCAGAAGGUCCCAGAGCCCACCAUGAGCAGGCAGUGUUUGGGAAAAGCCCGGGGAGGUGGCAGGGGCUCCGAGGAGCGGGGGAUUCUAAGGGGUUAUAGCUGCGCUGAGCCCCGGGCUCCUCAGAAGCCUCAGAAGGAGAAGGGGGCUCCUUUGGGGGCAUCCUCCCUGCAUCCGGGGUGUUGCAGGGUGACCUCCCGUAGUGCCAGCAGGGGCGGCCCCUCGGUCUGGCCAGAGAAGCCCAGCCACUGUCCCGUAUGGUGGAUGUCAGGCCCAGUGCCGUGUUUCCGAAGGAGGGAAGGGGUGAGAGGCAGCAGCCAGACACCCCGCUGAGCCCGCCCCGACCCUGAGCACGUGGGAGCUGGAGACGGUGUCACACACUCGGCCUGGCUUUGGGACCAUCCCUAGGGCUUCUGUGGGGAGGAGGAAGGAGGAGCAGACGUGGAAGGGCUGCCAGGGCCCCAGCAGAUGGGGUCGGGGGCGGAGGAGAGCCAGGAAAGUGUGGGCGCCUGGGGGAGUCACAGAUGGAGGUCUGGUACCUAGAGCCUGGAGAACGACGGCUCUCGGGACAGAGGGCCUCAGACUCUGGCACACCAGCCGUACCUAUGACAAGCUCCAUGGGGGAAGAACCAGGCACCUGGAUGCAUGGCUGUGAGGCCCCCACCCCACAGGGGCCUCAGAGGCACAGGCUCCAGGCUCCAGCGGGGAGGGCGCUGCAUCCCACCCUGGGAGCAUGGCUAUGAGGCCCCCACCCCACAGGGGACCCAGAGGCACAGGCUCCAGGCUCCAGCGGGAAGGGCCCUGCUCCCCACCCCCAUCCCCCGCCUCAGGCUUCACUGAGAUGGGCCCCGGGGACCCCGGGAGCUUUCUGUGACUGCUCGGCAAUGGGUUCCCCAAGGCCUGGCACAGGCUUUCCUUAGAGCCAGGCUGUGGACCCAAAGCCUUGGGCCAAGUCUCAGGACCAGAUGGGCGGCUCUGGAGAGGACCCCACAGUCCAGGGUGAGGCGCGCCCCGCUGGGGGCAGCGCUGCCUGUGGAGAGGACCCCACAGUCCAGGGUGAGGCGCGCCCCGCUGGGGGCAGCACUGCCCGUGGCCGUCUCCAUCCAUCUCACCCUGACGCAAGGCCGGCUUCCUCUGCGUCCAGUGGUCGGGGCCUUGGAGAGGCCAGCAGGGCCCGUGGGGGUCGCGUUUCUUCCCUGUGGCAUCAGCUCUUUUCCCAGCAGGCCUCUUUGCAGCUGGAUGCAGCAGCCAAGCCCUGGAGUCUUUGGAAAACUGUGGCCUGGCGGGGGCCCAGGCAAUGCCACCUUACAGGGGACACCCACACAGGCGGUCCCGAGGAGGGGUGUGCUGCCGCCCUGAGCUCAGCCAGGCAUCACCGUGGUGUCACCGUCAGCUCGGGUGGCACCUCCCGGGCUGCCCUCUCGGCUGCCACUUCUCAUGAAACUGACAGGGACUGAACACGAAUGAUGUGGCUUAUAGCUGGGUGCCCCCACCCUGACCACAGGUGCCACGCGACGGGAGCCACAUUCUCUUCCUGAUUCUAACUCCACGGGUACAGAGACAGAAGCUGCCAUCUUUAGAAAUAAAACUUUUUUCUAACUACAAAAUAAUACAGUUUAAUAUAGGAAAUGUGGAAAAUGGGGUAUUCGGGGUGGAUAUUGAGAAGAGAGAAGCAACACCAAUUCUAUGUGCGAGACGCUGGCACUUCCCAGCGUAGCCUUGUGUUCCUGACCCUGGGGUGGCCUGAGCGUGGCCUGUGGGGCCCGUGUCCAGGUGCGGAGGGGGCCCUGAGUCGUGCGGGGCAAGUGGUCAGGGCCCCAGGCCCAGGCUGCCUGGAGCGAGAUGACUGGGCCUGGCCCCUGGGGACUUGCUCUGACAAAACCCCCCGGUCCCCACUCCUGAGCCCCUGCAGGAGCAGCCCUGGGAACAUGGGGAGCAGCUCCUUCUGCCUAUGUGCUCCGGACUCAGGAACUCUGGAGAGAAGAAACACAACCCCACAGGCCCCGCCUGCCUCUCCUGCAGUCUUGAGGCCCCAGGGAAAGCCCCCACUGCAGGCAGGGGGACGUGGCUGGCCUGGUCUGCCCCCAGCUGAGCCUCACCUGAGGGAGAGCUGGGGUGGGCCGCCUCGUUUACGACCGUGUAGUCGUCUUUUGCACACAAAGCCAUGUGAGUCCGUACGUGAGUCCUGUGGAAAGACAAGACAUGGAAUAGGAGUGACGUCCGUCCCCAGGCAUGAAGUGGAGAGCAUCACGCUGUGUGAGUUAAACACUGGCCAAGCACGGUGUGAGUCGGAGCCGGGGACCUGGCCAGAUGAGGGCUGCGUGCAGCUUUCACACCCCAGGCACGUGAGCACCGCCAAGCCCAGCCUCAGCCAGCAGCUGCUCUGCAAUGUGGAGUCACCAGUGGCCCCAAGGAUGGCAGGUGGGGGUGGCCUUGGGACUGAAUUAGGCCGACACCCAAGGCCUCUGUUCCUUCCCGUCCCUUCUCUCCCUUCGGAGGAUCAAAUGAGAGUUUCUAGGAAAGAAAACAUGGCCAGGCCCUCCUCCAGCGCCCAGGCAGGGCUCGAGCGGACGCCCGUGUGACCCCCACAUCCCUUCUACCCCUGUAGCUCUCUGACUCUGAUAUCCCAGUGGGAGGAACGAGGAGGGGACGGGUGAGGAGGAGGAAGAGGAGGAGACAUGAGGGUUAGGAGGAGCACAUCCUGAGUUUGUGAGGCUUCACUGACCUCUGGCCUCACAAACACACACAGGCCUGAGCUCCGGAUAUUUCUCCUGUUCUGGAGACAGUGAGAAGUGAAAGAGAAAUGGCUGCCCCUGCACCACUUACCGCGAAGGAGGCUCAAGGCUGGGGGGCCCCUCUGCCUUCCAGUGACCGCCCGUGUCACAUCCUGACCCGCUCAGCAGGUGAGCUGCAGGCUGCCAAUGCACUGGUGCUACUUGCCCCUCGGUGUCUGGGUGGCUUUUGUGUGGCUGCGGCAGCUUGUGGGCCCACAUCCCAGGCACGGGUGGUCCUGAAGGUGCUGGGGAAGGGACAUGCCCUGGGAGGCAGGAUGUCCACACUAAGUGAGUUGCUCGCCUCCACUGGAGGAGAGACGGCCAGAGGCAUGGAUGCACGCUGACUCGUGGACGGCCGCUGUUUGACGAGACCAUCAAGGAGGGAGGAGCACCCGUGGAAAGGCGUGGCAGGGUGGUCGGGGCAGAGGUGUACAUCAGCCUAUCCAAUGCUCACGGCUGGAGGACGCCGCGCCCUGUGAAUGCUCACUGAGGACCAUCCCGGGCACUGGGGCUCUCCAUGUGAGAAUGGACAAUAUGCUGCCUUCCCAGCUGCCCCAUCCUUCCUGCGAGAGCUUGGGGAUGGGUGGCCACAGUGGCACUGGGGAGAACACGAGGGCUCCCCAGCAAGCGUUUUCUCUCAUGGAGGUGGCUCUGGUCACAGCGUCACUGCAGGGCGCAGCCACGGUGGCGGCCAAUGGAAACUGGGCUCUUCUUUUUCUUUUUUUUUUUGAGACAGAGUCUCGCUCUGUCACCCAGGCUGGAGUACAAUGGCAGGAUCUCGGCUCACUGCAACAUCCACCUCCCGGGUUCAAGUGAUUCUCCUGCCUCAGCCUCCUGAGUAGCUGGGAUUACAGGUGCCAGCCACCACGCCCGGCUAAUUUUUGUAUUUUUAGUAGAGACAGGGUUUCACCAUGUUGGUCAGGCUGUCUCGAACUCCUGACCUCGUGAUCUGCCCGCCUUGGCCUUCUCAAAGUGCUGGGAUUACAGACAUGAGCCACCGCGCCCGGCCAAAACUGGGCUUUUCUACGGUGGGGAGAGCAGAGCUAUUCUCUCUGGGGUGGGUGCUUGUCUGGGACUUGUCACCAUCCCUUACUCCAGGGCUGUCUUCAGCACUGUCGCCCACAGUCUUUCCGAACGCCUUAUUCAGAUGUUAUAAUUUCCCACACGAUGUUCCUGACCAAGAAACGCAUUUUACAGCAAAGGGGUGAGGAACGGAUCUGUGGCCAUAGGAUCCCAGAGCCGUGUCCCCGCCACUCAGGAGCAGGCGACCUGAGCAGAAGGGCUUGGCGCUGGUGGGCAGUGGGAGCCCUGCCAUGGGCGGCCCGAGGGGUGGUGGGAUCCCCGCCGUGGGCAACCCCGGGGGCGGUGGGAGCCACGCUGUGGGUGGGCUGGAGGCCCUACUGGGUGUGCUACCGGAAGGGAGGUCCUGACUGUGAGUCCAUGUUCCUGGCAUGUUGAACAAAGAAUUGAGCAAAACUCACAAAACGACAAAUAACAGAGUAAUGAAAGCGCAGAUCCUUUGCAGUGAACAUGCACUCCACAAGGGGGGACGGGACUCCAGCAAGUGCUCCGGAGCCCCCAUUAGGGUUUGUAUUGGGCUAAAAGAAUUUGGUAACACCCCCAGGUGCCCUUUCCAGGUCUCUGAUUGGCUGCAUCCUAUGAAGACUGGCCUGCGGCCAAUCAGAGGCUGAGGUGGAGACUCCUGUCUUGUUUUCCCAGGAAGGAGGCUGCGGCCUGUGUGCCGCCCAAUCCAGCCAGGAACCGGUGGCACCUGCUGCCCUCCGGCUUCUGCCUUAGCCCUCGGUGACCCCAUUCCCUGUUCUCCUGCCUCAGGUGCAGGGCGAUGGUUCUCAGUCAACGCUGGGGCCAGAGCCGGGGCUGGGGCCGCUCGUUCUGCACAGGUCCCGGGAGUGGCGGUGAGCAAUGCUCUCGCUCUCAGCGACCCACGUGCAAAGCGCUCCCUGCGCCCCCGACCCCGCAGCUUUGGGCUCUGCUGACUUCAAGGCUUCAUUCUUCCUCCAGGAGAACACAGCAGGUCCCUCCGACCGCAGUCGGCCUCUCCAGCCUGCCAUGCCUCUGGCCAUGAGGCGACCCGCUGGAGUGAUGGAUUCCCGUCACUACCACCCACAGGGCGAGGGGGUGCAUUGGUCUGCUUGGGCCGCUGUAACAAAAUGCCACAGCCUGGAUGAGUGACUGACAUUGCUUCCCCACCGUUCUGGAGGCUGGAGGCCCGAGAUCGAGGUCCCUGACACUAUUUCAGUGAUGCCAGAGCCCAGGAGGAGUCGACCAAGCCCCAGCGUGGCCAUAAGCACCUUCGCAGGACCACGGAGUCGCUGCAGGUGUUCAGCCCUGUUGAGAGUGGGAGUCGGUGUCGAUGGUCACAGCUCAGUAACUCAUCGUCACCAGCGAGUACCACAGAGCAGACACAACUGCACUUCUCUGUAGAGCCUCCAGUCGAUACUGAGAGCCACUGGGGCGUCUGACACCCAAGGGUGCAGACAUUCACUCCAAGUCCAGAGACCGCGCCCUUUCUAAGGCCCUGUCUCACAGUCGCCCCGUGCUCAUUGUGCCGGAUGUUUCCACAGCCACAGAGACGGUGCGUGAAGGUGAGGUGCAGCCUAGUGCAUAUGACUGACAGAAACGUGAAGCCACAGUGGACGCCUGGAUGAGACACAGAUCACCUUCCAAAUCUGAGUGUGGCCUUGGGACCAACCAGGCAGCCAGGGAGAAGGCAGAGACCAGAGGGAACCCAGGUGCCCUCAAUCCCAGCCUCCUCUAUCCCAGCCUCCCAAUCCCAGCCUCCCCAAUCCCAGCCUCCUAAUCCCAGCCUCCUCCAUCCCAGGACCCCCACUCCCAGCCUCCCGAUCCCAGCUUCUCUGAUCCCAGCCUCCCCUAAAACCCAGACUCUAUGAAUCCCAGCCUCUGAGGUGGGAACUGUUAGUAACCCCACUCCAUGGACAAGAAAGCUGGGGCCUGGCGAGGCUAACAGACUAUCCUGAUGGUGUGAGGGAGGGAUCGGCCUCUGAGGGCUGCUUCCACCCAUCUCACCAGUGGCUGCAGGCUCCAGGCGCCACUUUCCUUGAGUCUAUGUUCUUUCCAAGCAUCCUGCAGCUCCAGAAGCUCUGGAGCCGCCAGCACUGAGAGAAGCGAUGGAGCUGCAUGCAGGGAAACUUUGUUGACAGCGGUGUCUGGAUGGACCAGCAGAGGGCACUCUCACCCACGGGGAAAAUCGUGCGCCCGGCCUCGUCCACCGCCAGAAGACGCCGCUACACAAUGGAGUCUCGCUCUGUCGACCAGGCUGGAGUGCAAUGGUGCGAUCUCGGCUCACUGCAAUCUCUGCCUCCCGGUGAGAGGUGAAGCCAGCUGGACUUCCUGGGUCUAGUGGGGACUUGGAGAACUUUUCUGUCUAGCUAAAGAUUUGUAAAUGCACCAAUCAGUGCUGUGUCUAGCUAAAGUUUGUAAACGUACCAAUCAGCACUCUGUAAAAAUGGGCCAAUCAGCACUCUGUAAAAUGGACCAAUCAGCACUCUGUAAAAUGGACCAGUCAGCAGGAUGUGGGCGGGGUCAAAUAAAGGAAUAAAAAGCUGGUAGCCGAGCCGGCAGUGGCAAACCGUUUGGGUCCUUCUCGGUACCCUGGUGGCUUUGUUGUUUUGCUCUUUGCAAUAGAUCUUGUUGCCGCUUGCUCUUUGGGGCCUCACUGCCUUUAUGAGCUAUAACACUCCCCGCAGAGGUCUGCAGCUUCAUUCUUGAAGCCAGCGAGACCACGAACCCACUGGGAGGAACCAACAACUCCAAACGCGCCACCUGUAAGAGCUGUAACACUCCCUGUGAAGGUCUGUGGCUUCACUCCUGAAGUCAGCGAGACCAGGAACCCACCGGAAGGAACUCCGGACACAAAGAACUGCAACACUCACCCGAGGGUCUGUGGCUUCAUUCUUGAAGUCAGUGAGAUUAAGAACCCACCGGAAGGAACCAGUUCCGGACGUGCCGAGUUCAAGCAAUUGUCCUGCCUCAGUCUCCGGAGUAACUGGGAUUACAGGUGCACGCUGCCAUGCCCAGCUAAUUUGUAUUUUAGUAGAGUCGAGGUUUCACCGCGUUGCCCAGGCUGGUCUCGAAUUCCUGAGCUUGGGCAACCCACUCACCUCGGCCUCCCAAAGUGCUAGGAUUACAGGCGUGAGCCACCAGGCCGGGCCCGUAUGGUGGUUUCUACUCCGGACUGACUCUCCCGGGUCUUGGUCACUCUGCAGAAUCCUGGACCGGAAGGGGGCCUCGGCCAGGGGAGGGCUUGCGAGGAGCCCCGGACCUACUGGCCAUUAUAGGGUGACGGGAAGUUCCUUGCAUCCCGGGAUCCCAUGGCACUUGGUCAGGGAAGCCUCCCCAGAGAGGCCCAACUCCCCAGAUCCAGGUGGGGAAUCAGGGUACCAGCCAGGCAGUGUUCCCACCCCAGCCAUGCUGCUGGCUUCCGUCCCUGUGGUGGGGUCACCCAGGUGGCUCAUGCCUCCACGCACAGCCUUGUGGACACCCCCACACCGCCCAUAGUCAAGUCAGAGCUCACGAGCCCACAGGGCAGAUACCCGCCACGAGGGGACGGUGGGCCAGGAGGGUCCUCUGUGGGCAGCGCCGUGUUCCUGAUCUCCCCAGGCUGCUGGGGGAUGGGGUGGGGCAGAGGAGGCCACCUUCCCAUUUCCCACUUUGCUGGGUCUCCCUCUUUGCUGGACAGUGCUGGGGCAGGUUACACACCCAUGACAGUGUGAGGACUGAGGGUGCGCGUCCUGGAGCCUUCAGGGCUUGGGUGGAGGGGGCAGCUUGUCCCCCUGAGGCCUGGGCCAGAGAUCCCAUUCUGAAUGCGGAGAGCCAAGAUUCUACCUGGAUCCUGGCCUUGUGGGUCACUGUGACGGCCCAGAGCUGACUUUAUGUGACAGUUUGUCCUGAGAUUUAAAACUGAAUAUUUAGACUCGUGGGAUCUGGGCAUCCACUUCAACCAAGGAUGGGGACAGGCAGCAGGGUGGAGGGUGGACGAUGCAGGAAGAUGCUGUAGGACCAAGAACAAGGGGGCUGUGAGGCAAAGGAGCAGCACGAGGAGCCGUGUGUGCCCACUGCCACUUGCAGCCUCAUUUCUCAACCCGACUGUGAUGACUGCCGCUUGCUGGAAAGAUGCUCUGAAGACACAAUGAACUGACAAUGCGUCACCCCGACUCCUGCCUGAGCCACUCCAUUCCUUAAAGACGGUACGUGACUCACGUCCUUGCUGUGUCCUGCACGAGAUAAGGUCUGGCAGGGUUGGUAAUUAUGCCUCUGGGAUCUGUAACCAGACAUUCUCUGUAACCAUUCUGUAUAAUCUGGACGUUCUCUGUAAUCCAGAUGUUCUGUGUAAACUGAAGUUCUCUGUAAUUGGACUUUCUCUAUAACCAGUUGUCCUCUGUAACCUUCUCUAUAAUCCAGAUGUUCUUUGCAACCAGAUAUUCUCUCUAACCAGACAUUCUGUAUAAUCCAGACAUUCUCUGUAACCAGAUGUUUUCUAUAAUCCAGAUUUUUUUUUUUUUUUGAGACAGUUGCACUCUUUUUGCCCAGGCUGGAGUGCAAUGGUGAGAUCUUGGCUCCCUGCAACCUCCACCUCCCAGGUUCAAGCGAUUCUCCUGCUUCAACCUCCCUAGUAGCUGAGAUUACAGGCAUGCACCACCAUGCUUAGCUAAUUUUGUAUUUUUAGUAGAGACGGGGUUUCUUCAUGUUGGUCAGACUGCUCUCAAACUCCUGACCUCAGGUGAUCCGCCCACCUCGGCCUCCCAAAGUGCUGGGAUGACAGACGUGAGCCACCGCACCCGGCCCUGGAUGUUCUUUUUAAUCCAGAUAUUCUCUGUAAUCCAGACGUUCUCUACAACCAGACAUUCUCUGUAAUCGGACAUUCAGUACAAUCCAGGCUUUCUCCGUAACCAGACGUUCUCUAUAAUCCAGACGUUCUCUGUAACCCACACGCAGCUCCGUGUGACUCUGCUCUUCCGUGACUUCUGCGUCUAUAAUCCAGACGUUCUCUGUAACCCACGUGCAGCUCCGUGUGACCCUGCUCUUCCGUGACUUCUGCGUCUAUAAUCCAGACGUUCUCUGUAACCCAC